AUGCCAUGAUGAGGGCAACUGGCGCAAAGCAUCUUAAAUCUAUCCCAAGCUUGGUAAAAAUUUUCAUCUUUUUGUUGUUGAAAGGCGGCAAUCCUUUGUCUUCCUUU
rfam:Corchorus capsularis cultivar CVL-1 contig13963, whole genome shotgun sequence.